AUAUUGCACAAUGGGGGAAACCCUGAUGCAGCAACGCCGCGUGAGUGAAGAAGUAUUUCGGUAUGUAAAGCUCUAUCAGCAGGGAAGAUAAUGACGGUACCUGACUAAGAAGCUCCGGCUAAAUACGUGCCAGCAGCCGCGGUAAUACGUAUGGAGCAAGCGUUAUCCGGAUUUACUGGGUGUAAAGGGUGCGUAGGCGGCACAGCAAGUCAGAUGUGAAAGACCGGGGCUCAACCCCGGGGCUGCAUUUGAAACUGCCGAGCUUGAGUCCGGGAGAGGCAGGCGGAAUUCCUAGUGUAGCGGUGAAAUGCGUAGAUAUUAGGAGGAACACCAGUGGCGAAGGCGGCCUGCUGGACCGGAACUGACGCUGAGGCACGAAAGCGUGGGGAGCAAACAG
rnacentral:rRNA from 1 species